rnacentral:rRNA from 1 species
GACGAACGCUGGCGGCGUGCCUAAUACAUGCAAGUAGAACGCUGAAGGAGGUAGCUUGCUACUUCUGGAUGAGUUGCGAACGGGUGAGUAACGCGUAGGUAACCUGGCUCAUAGCGGGGGAUAACUAUUGGAAACGAUAGCUAAUACCGCAUAACAGUAUUUAUCGCAUGGUAAAUGCUUGAAAGGAGCAACUGCUUCACUAUGAGAUGGACCUGCGUUGUAUUAGCUAGUUGGUAAGUAAAGGCUUACCAAGGCGACGAUACAUAGCCGACCUGAGAGGGUGAUCGGCCACACUGGGACUGAGACACGGGCCCAGACUCCUACGGGAGCAGCAGUAGGGAAUCUUCGGCAAUGGGGGAACCUGACCGAGCAACGCCGCGUGAGUGAAGAAGGGUUUUCGGAUCGUAAAGCUCUGUUGUAAGAGAAGAAUGUGUGUGGGAGU